rnacentral:rRNA from 1 species
UACGUAGGUGGCAAGCGUUGUCCGGAUUUAUUGGGCGUAAAGCGCGCGCAGGCGGUCCUUUAAGUCUGAUGUGAAAUCUUGCGGCUCAACCGCAAGCGGUCAUUGGAAACUGGGGGACUUGAGUACAGAAGAGGAAAGCGGAAUUCCACGUGUAGCGGUGAAAUGCGUAGAGAUGUGGAGGAACACCAGUGGCGAAGGCGACUACCUGGCCUGUUCUUGACGCUGAGGCGCGAAAGCUAGGGGAGCAAACGGG